UCCACGCCCUAAACGAUGUCAACUAGGUGUUGGGGGAGGAGACUUCCUUAGUACCGUAGCUAACGCGUGAAGUUGACCGCCUGGGGAGUACGGUCGCAAGAUUAAAACUCAAAGGAAUUGACGGGGACCCGCACAAGCGGUGGAUUAUGUGGAUUAAUUCGAUGCAACGCGAAAAACCUUACCUACCCUUGACAUGUCAGAAAGAUCGCAGAGAUGUGAUUGUGCUCGAAAGAGAAUCUGAACACAGGUGCUGCAUGGCUGUCGUCAGCUCGUGUCGUGAGAUGUUGGGUUAAGUCCCGCAACGAGCGCAACCCUUGUCAUU
rnacentral:rRNA from 1 species